rnacentral:rRNA from 1 species
GACGAACGCUGGCGGCGUGCUUAACACAUGCAAGUCGAGCGAGGCCCACCUUUCGGGGUGGUGUUCUAGCGGCGAACGGGUGAGUAACACGUGGGCAACCUGCCCUCAGCUCUGGGAUAACUCCAAGAAAUUGGGGCUAAUACCGGAUAUGACCGCUGACCGCAUGGUCUGGUGGUGGAAAGAUUUAUCGGCUGGGGAUGGGCCCGCGGCCUAUCAGCUUGUUGGUGGGGAGUGGCCUACCAAGGCGACGACGGGGUAGCCGGCCUGAGAGGGU